GACAAGACUUUCUUGAGCACAAGGUCACCUUCUCGGAACACACGAGGCUUGACCUUCUUAUCAAAUGCUUUUUCACUCUCUGCUGAUAUGACUGACCAUGACACAUGGCAGUUGAUCUCUUCUUUUCGAUCGAAUUCAGCAUCAGUCAACUUGGGACUUUGAGGGUGCUAUUUUCUUUUAUUUCUUUCUUUCUUUUUCUUUCUUUUGAUUU
rnacentral:lncRNA from 1 species